GACGGUACCUGCAGAAAAAGCGCCGGCUAACUACGUGCCAGCAGCCGCGGUAAUACGUAGGGCGCAAGCGUUAUCCGGAAUUAUUGGGCGUAAAGAGCUCGUAGGCGGUUUGUCGCGUCUGCUGUGAAAUCCGGAGGCUCAACCUCCGGCCUGCAGUGGGUACGGGCAGACUAGAGUGCGGUAGGGGAGAUUGGAAUUCCUGGUGUAGCGGUGGAAUGCGCAGAUAUCAGGAGGAACACCGAUGGCGAAGGCAGAUCUCUGGGCCGUAACUGACGCUGAGGAGCGAAAGGGUGGGGAGCAAACAGGCUUAGAUACCCUGGUAGUCCACCCCGUAAACGUUGGGAACUAGUUGUGGGGUCCAUUCCACGGAUUCCGUGACGCAGCUAACGCAUUAAGUUCCCCGCCUGGGGAGUACGGCCGCAAGGCUAAAACUC
rnacentral:rRNA from 1 species